GUUCAGAUGAUGAAUUUAAUGUUCAACUGCUGAAUGAUACAGAUAUGAACUAAAACUUUUAAUUCUGAUAGAG
ensembl:snoRNA